AGAGUUUGAUCCUGGCUCAGAAUCAACGCUGGCGGCGUGCCUAACACAUGCAAGUCGAACGAGAAAAGUGGAGCAAUCCAUGAGUAAAGUGGCGCACGGGUGAGUAACACGUGACUAACCUGCCCUUGAGUGGGGAAUAACCUAGGGAAACCUGGGCUAAUACCGCAUAACACCUACGGGUCAAAGGAGCAAUUCGCUUAAGGAGGGGGUCGCGGCAGAUUAGCUAGUUGGCGGGGUAAUGGCCCACCAAGGCGGUGAUCUGUAUCCGGCCUGAGAGGGCGCACGGACACACUGGAACUGAAACACGGUCCAGACUCCUACGGGAGGCAGCAGUGGGGAAUUUUGCGCAAUGGGGGAAACCCUGACGCAGCAACGCCGCGUGGAGGAUGAAGUCCCUUGGGACGUAAACUCCUUUCGAUCGGGACGAUUAUGACGGUACCGGAAGAAGAAGCCCCGGCUAACUUCGUGCCAGCAGCCGCGGUAAUACGAGGGGGGCAAGCGUUGUUCGGAAUUACUGGGCGUAAAGGGUGCGUAGGCGGUUCGGUAAGUCUUAUGUGAAAUCUUCAGGCUCAACUUGAAGUCUGCAUGAGAAACUGCCGGGCUUGAGUGUGGGAGAGGUGAGUGGAAUUUCCGGUGUAGCGGUGAAAUGCGUAGAUAUCGGAAGGAACACCUGUGGCGAAAGCGGCUCACUGGACCAUAACUGACGCUGAUGCACGAAAGCUAGGGGAGCAAACAGGAUUAGAUACCCCCGUAGUCC
rnacentral:rRNA from 1 species